rnacentral:rRNA from 1 species
AUUGAACGCUGGCGGCAGGCCUAACACAUGCAAGUCGAACGAGUGGCGGACGGGUGAGUAAUGUCUGGGAAACUGCCCGAUGGAGGGGGAUAACUACUGGAAACGGUAGCUAAUACCGCAUACCAUCGGAUGUGCCCAGAUGGGAUUAGCUAGUAGGGGGGGUAACGGCUCACCUAGGCGACGAUCCCUCGCUGGGCUGAGAGGAUGACCAGCAACACUGGAACUGAGACACGGUCCAGACUCCAACGGGGGGCAGCAGGGGGGAAUAUUGCACAAGGGGCGCAAGCCUGAUGCAGCCAGGCCGGGGGUAUGAAGAAGGCCUUGGGGUUGUAAAGUACUUUCAGCGAGGAGGCGUUACUCGCAGAAGAAGCACCGGCUAACUCCGUGCAAGCGGCCGCGUAAUAC